GGGGGAGUAUGGUCGCAAGGCCGAAACUUAAAGGAAUUGACGGAAGGGCACCACCAGGAGUGGAAUCUGCGGCUUAAUUUGACCCAACGCGGGAAAACUCACCAGGUCAGGACACGGUAAGGAUUGACGGACUGAAGGCUCUUUCUCGAUUCCGUGGAAAGUGGUGCAUGGCCGUUUUUGGUUGGUGGAUCGAUCCGUCUGGUUAAUUCCGUUAACGAACGAGACCUCGGCACUCCGAAUAGCGCGGCGGACGUCGCGGCCUCCGGGCCGUCUUCCGCACGAGCUUCUUAGAGGGACCGUCCCCCGCCGGGGAAGGAGGUGCGAGGCAACGACAGGUCUGUGAUGCCCUUAGAUGUUCUGGGCCGCACGCGCAUUACACUGACGCGUCCAACGGGUGACUCCCGACCCGAAGGGGCCGGGGAAUCCGCAAGGCGCGUCGUGAUGGGGAUUGAACGUUGCAAUUGUUGUUCACGAACGAGG
rnacentral:rRNA from 1 species